rnacentral:lncRNA from 1 species
UUUUGCAUCUAUGUUCAUGAGAAAUAUUGCUCUGUAGUUCUUUUAUGUCUUUGCGUGGCUUGGUAAUAGGGUAAUGCUAGUCUGAAAUAAUUAAAGAGUAUUCCUCCUGCUUCUGUUGUCUGAAAGAGGUUGUAGAGAAUUGGUACAAUUUCUUUCUUAAAUGUGUGGUAGAAUCACCAGUGAACCAUCAUACUACCAAGCCUGGUGCUUUCUGUUUUAGAAAGUUAAUUAUUGAUUCAAUUUAUUUAAUAGCUAUAGACCCAGUCACAUUUUCUGUCUCUUAUGAGAGUUUUGACAGAUUAUAUCAUUCAAGGAAUUUGCUCUUUUCAUUUAGGUUAUCAAAUAUCUUUUGGCUGUUAGGAUUUAUAGCUGUGACAUCCAUCAUGAUGAUUCAAAGAGCCUAAUCAUCCAAUAAAACAUGCAGAAAAGUUUACAUGGAUGAUGUUUAUCUGAAUUAUUUGCUCAAGAGACAGAUAACUGGAUUGAACUUGGAACCUUGCGCUUUCGAGGCAGGCAGAGGAACCACUGAGCUAAAUCUCCAGCCCCCAAAUUUCCUUUUCAUAGCGAAAUGAAAGAAGAAAUCUACCAUGGACCCAAAAUAGUUGGAUGACAGCUCUUAACACCCCUCCCCAAAAAAUAAAAGUAUAAAGAAGAG